ACUCUCUUUUUGUCUCUCUAUUUUUUCUUUUUCUUCCCCCACCCUACCUUUCCAUUAGCCUUUUUCUUGCUCUUAUUCUCUCUUAUUUUCUUUUUCUUUUUACUUCCUUGAAUCCUUCCCUUCCCAUCGGUUCUUCCCCCUUGAUUAUUUUUUCUCUCUCUCUCUCUCUCUCUCUCUCUCUCAAGAAAUAAAUCUCAUAAUUGCUCUCUCCCAGCCAGCUUAUCUCUACCGCCAUUGUGCCGCCGUAACCAUGCCACGACCACACCUUGUCUCAGCACUUGUCACCUUUUGUCGUCAUCGAGCUCUUUCUUCUUCCUGAUCGAUUCAUGGCCUCUCCCAACGGCUCCCUUCGCACGGCUUUGCAACCUUUUGCCGCUAACCACUUAUUGUUGCUGUAGUUGAAGCUUGCACCUUGUUCACUAGCCACGUCGUAUGUAGCCGCCACCGCUUCGUAGAAAUUCGGACAUGUUGGGUGUGGGGCAUCCUACAAAGGUGCAAAACUGUGAUGAGAGGAAGGAAAAUCACUUACCAAGAGCCUAGGAGCAGAGGAAGACGAUGUAGUUUGACAGAGCAGAAGAUGAAAUUUAUAGAGUAGAAAUGUGAUUUUGACAAAAUACGAAGACGGUAGAUUUGAUUGAUCUUCCAGAAAGUGAGUGAAGCGGCAAGGGAAAUUAGACAAAAUACCAAGGCGGUGGGAGUGUUUUAUCUGAGAAGAAGACACUGGAAAGCGGUGGAUUUAUGUUCCAGAAAUUGAAGAAGGUGGUAGAUUGUUUCCAGAAGUUACCAGAUUUAUAAAAACUCACUGAGCAGUGGAUUUAUCUUCCAAAAGGCGGUGGGAAUUUCCUUAAUAAAUAGGCACAAAAUUAGAAAGAAAUGAGUAAAAAGACAUGGGAGAUGGAAUGCGUGGUGCAGAUAAACUUUCAAACCAAGCGGCCAGAAGAUAAGGCCAUCCAAAACAAAUCUUUUGUUAGAUGUAGACACUUAUCAAACCCAGUUGUGUUUCUGAAACCAUUUGACGAUAAUUUUUUUUUUUUGUAUAAUUUGGAAUCCUGUCAUCACAUUUUCUUUUGUUAACUAUACACGUAUAUUACAAUAUGGAUAGAUUUGUUUUCAUUUCA